rnacentral:rRNA from 1 species
UUAAAAAGCUCGUAGUUGGAUUUCGGUUGAGAACGGCCGGUCCGCCGUUUGGUGUGCACUGGCUGGUUUCAACUUCCUGUAGAGGACGCGCUCUGGCUUCACGGCUGGACGCGGAGUCUACGUGGUUACUUUGAAAAAAUUAGAGUGUUCAAAGCGGGCUUACGCUUGAAUAUUUCAGCAUGGAAUAACACUAUAGGACUCCUGUCCUAUUUCGUUGGUCUCGGGGCGGGAGUAAUGAUUAAGAGGAACAGUUGGGGGCAUUCGUAUUUCAUUGUCAGAGGUGAAAUUCUUGGAUUUAUGAAAGACGAACUUCUGCGGAAGCAUUUGCCAAGGAUGUUUUCAUUAAUCAAGAACGAAAGUUGGGGGCUCGAAGAUGAUUAGAUACCAUCCUAGUCUCAACCAUAAACGAUGCCGACUAGGGAUUGCAGGAUGUUAAUUGAUGACUCCUGCAGCACCUUAUGAGAAAUCAAAGUUUUUGGGGUUCCGGGGGGAAUAUGGUCGCAAAGCUGAAACUUAAAGGAAUUGACGGAAGGGCACCACC